rnacentral:rRNA from 1 species
UUCUGGCUCAGGAUGAACGCUAGCUACAGGCUAACACAUGCAAGUCGAGGGCAGCAUGAAGUUUGCUGCAAACUUGAUGGCGACCGGCGCACGGGUGAGUAACGCGUAUCCAACUUCCCCUUAGUAGGGCAUAGCCCGGCGAAAGUCGGAUUAAUACCCUAUGUUCUUCGUAGAUGACAUCUGAAAUGAAGCAAAGGUUUACCGCUAAGGGAUGGGGAUGCGUCUGAUUAGGCAGUCGGCGGGUAACGGCCACCGAGCCGACGAUCAGUAGGGUUCUGAGAGGAAGGUCCCCCACAUUGGAACUGAGACACGGUCCAAACUCCUACGGGAGGCAGCAGUGAGGAAUAUUGGUCAAUGGGCGCGAGCCUGAACCAGCCAAGUAGCGUGCCAGGAAGACGGCCCUAUGGGUUGUAAACUGCUUUUAUGCGGGGAUAAAGUCGCCCACGUGUGGGUGUUUGUAGGUACCGCAUGAAUAAGGACCGGCUAAUUCCGUGCCAGCAGCUGC